CUGAAGUCAUUCAUUCUUCUGCAUCGCCGAGCUACACCAGUGCCGUCGCCGAGCUGCAGCCUGCGCCGUCAACGAGCUACAGCCAUCGCCGCCGCUGACCUACAGCCACCGCCGUCUCCUCCCCUCAAAUCGGCGGCAUUCUGUUUUCUCGACUCCACCCUUGUCCACAGCUCUAACCUACAAUUUUUGAAGAAUUAAGGUGAGAGGGAAUUCAAAUAUUGCAAGUGUAGGUUGGAUUUGGGGGAAUUGGUUGAGUUUUUCUUAAAUUGGAUUUGCUUGGGUUCAUUUGAGCGCUCUCUUCCACCACUCUUUUACUUCACAUUUUCACAGAGCUCAUUCAAGAAAACAGAAAAAGAAAUGGGCGUUAAACUGAGACAGAAGACCAUCUAGAUCAAACGAUGUUAAUGCUUUGGUCUCACUGAUUUCUCACAUUAUCAAAUAGAUGAUCUAUUUCAUGGUGAUGAGUUGUCUCUUAUUCAACGAGCGGAGCUAGGAGAUUUAUAGCUUGGAGUUGAAGAGAAGAAUUUAGCUCCAAGGGUGAAGGUGCAAGCGAUUGCAGCAACGAAGGGCGAAAAUCCAAAUUUGAGUGAUCUCUUCAUCAAUGAUGUUUGUGGAGGAAAGCUCGACCAGAAGAAGAGGAUGUUCGGACAGGAAACUUAACACCUAACCUCGUGUUUUACACCUCGACAGAGUCCGCCAGAGCACAAACCUUGCGAGAUGAAUUGCGUGAUGAAUUAAGGGCUGAAUUAAGAGGAGAAAUUAGGGAGGAAAUAAGGGGGGAAUUUCGACAAGAUUUAGAUGCGCAAAGUGUGAAAAUUUCAGCAAUGGAGGAGAAGAUGAACCGGAUCUUGAUGUCUCAACAAUCCAAUUUCUCACGACUCAUUGAUGAUGAUGGUUCACGGACUUGAUACAUAUUGAUGGAGGAGAAGAUGAACCGGAUCAUGAUGUCCCAACAUUCCCAUCUCUCACGACGCAUUGAUGAUGAUGCUUCACAAACUUAAUACAUAUUUAAUAUAAACUUCCUAUUUUGUGUUCUUUUUUAUCCGUA